rnacentral:tRNA from 1 species
GAGGCUUUAGCUUAAUUAAAGCGUCUGGGUUGCAUUCAGAAAAUGUGGGAUAGAGUCCUGCAGGUCUUA